GGGGCUGUGGCUCACUUGAAGAGCCUGUGUUUUGCAUGCAGAAGGUCCCGGGUUCAGUCCCUGGCAUCUCCA
rnacentral:tRNA from 1 species